CUGCCCCUCUCUGAACUCCUUGAAGUUUGGCAGUAACUACUCGCUGUUCAGCUGGGGACUUCGCAGAGGGGCUGAGCACACGGUCCAGGUGAGGUCUCCCGAGUCAGAGAUUUGUGACAACCGAAGAGCAUAUUCCAGGAGCCAUGAAAGACACAAACUCUGUUGAGCAUCUCCGGGGCCUCGUUACUUGUUCUGUCUGCCUGGAGCGCUGUCGAGAUCCAGUGAUCAGACACUGCGGCCACAACUUGUGCCAGGCCUGCAUCAACCGGCCCUGGAGAGAAGUGACAGAGCAAAUCACCUGCCCGUGGUGCAAAGAAGAUAUUCAGGGGGAAAAAUCCGGCUCUGACAACCAACCCUGGAAGGUGGAAGAAAUAGACAAGCAGUUCCUGUUAGAGGAGCCGAGUUUGUGGCCAGAAAGGGUGUGUGUGAACCACAAAGAAGAGCUAAAACUCUACUGCGUAGAGGAUCAAACCUUCAUUUGCCUUGUCUGCAGGGAUGCCCAGAAUCAUAAAUCACACACACUGAUUCCCAGAGAGGAGGCUGAUGCCAGCAUAAACCGGGGCAUCAGGCGUCCCUUGGCCGG